GUGCUUGUGCUUUGGAGAGGAAUCCGUCUGGGUGGCUGGCAUGCAGGUAGCCCGUGUUGGGCUGGAAGUCCCCAAAUCCUCAUGGAUGAGGGGCCCUCGGUGGACGCAAGACUCACGUAGGCUUCUGCUGAGCACCAGAGGCAGCGGUGAAUGGCGGAAGCACCAUGGCCUGCGCUGGGCCAAUGCCAGCAGAGCUCAGAGGAGGGGUGUGUGGCUGCCAUCGGCGUGGCUUGUGGAGUGCCAGCAGAUCUG